UAAAGACCUGUGUUUAGCUGUUCUCUGUUUUGGCAGAUUUCACCUACCUGGGUCCCUGAUGUUUGGCCCUUGCCCUGCUUCCUCCCUCAUGUGCUAAUGAGCUGAGACCAUCCCCAAGCAGACUGCAAGCAUCUUGGCAUCAAGACAUCUGCUCUCUUGGAGCACAGCAGCACUCAGGAGAGCUCGUGCUGAAAGACAUUUCUUCCUAUGAACUCUCUGUUAGUUCUUCUAAAAACCAUCAGAAAUGAAAUAAUUCUUUAAUGGCUGUUCUUACCAAGGUGGACGUGAUUUUUUUAUUUGCAUGGAGUAUUAUUUUGGUCAUGUGCUUGAAAUAUCACCAGCUAGAGAGCUGGUAGCUUUCCCACUGGGAGAGGGCUGCAGGACCCAAGAAGAUGCUUUUGCCAGAUGACCUAGGGGCUCUGCAGGCCAUGAAGGACUGUCUCCAGGCAGGCCAUCCUUAUCCUACAGUACCAGCUGGCUGGGCCUUAACAGAAUCCUCAUUUCAACCAGAUUUAAAACAUCGCUCUAAACUGAUAUUGCAUAUGAAAUACGCUGCUUUGCUGACAAAUCCCUCUUCUGCAUAUGGAAUAUGCUGCUUUGUUGACAAACCCCUCUUUCUUGAAGUUUCUCCAGUAAGUGAAGGCAUUUUCAGGCUUGGUGGGAAAUCAGUGCAAGGAGGGGCUCUGGGAAGUUUAGAAGUCACACAGGUGUGUGCCUUUGUUCCUGCCAGCUCUCAUACCCACUGCUGUAGUGGGUAUUGGUUAUCACAUCUGCUGAGUCCAGCUUUGCUCAUGCUUCUGUUCUGCAAGAGAGCAUUCAGCAAAACACUUGGCUUCUUUCAGCCCCCUGCCAGUGCCUUGGCAACACCGGAGAUCUCCAAAGUGCUCUGAGAUGCAGACUCGGGGUAACUUAUUUUCCCUGUAGCAAGGCUGGAGGAAAAGCUGCCUUUGGAAGAGGUUACAGCAGAGGGCUAGGACACAAGAGUGACAGACAGCAGCCUCUCCUAGGAAAGAAGAGUUGAAUUUUUGGUUGCUGAGGGCUACUGGCUUCCCCACACAAGGUCUAAGCUAGGACAAAUUCUAGACAUGCCAGGGGAAGGAGACCUGGGGAUAUGGAGGUGAAACUCACUGCUCAGUACUCGGUAAAGGAGAGAUGCCUUGCAGCUUAGUCUCCGGGGGUCAUUAAUCACCACAGCUCAGCUGGUCUGCUCGCAAGUUGUGCUGGUCUGGCUGCAGCACAGCAAUGUGGUGGUAUGACACAAACCAAUAUGGAGCAGUUAUGAAAAGCAGUCUCUCUGCUGGCUUAUAGGUGAUCCGAGUGAAUGAAAUGCUGUGGAGCUUCAAGUCAACAUAUUUCUUCAAGUUAGAAAUGGAUUGACUAAAUCAAGUAAAAUAACUCUAUCAAACUUCCAGCCAGAGCUCAGAUUACGUAAAUUCUGAGUAAUUUGCUUUUCCUGACAGUUUUCAAGUCUGCAUUUACAGCUUCUUCUGGGAGUGCUUACAGAACUGCUAAGUAUCACUUCAGCAACAGGCUUGUUGGGUAUUUAGCCUUUCCUAAUCAGCGCCCACACCGAGGUAGAGGAGAGGCAGUACUGAUUUCUCAGUCAAAAUUGUCCUCCUGGAAGACACUUCUUGGGUGUAGGCCAUGAGCGUGGGGGUAGGUGAGGUACUUUCUUUUGUCCCAAGUUUAUCUGUGUUAACUGAAAACCAAAAUAAAACCAACUAACCAAAACAAA